AACGAACGCUGGCGGCAUGCCUAACACAUGCAAGUCGAACGAAGACUUCGGCCUUAGUGGCGCACGGGUGCGUAACGCGUGGGAAUCUGCCCAAAGGUUCGGAAUAACUCAGGGAAACUUGAGCUAAUACCGGAUGAUGUCGCAAGACCAAAGAUUUAUCGCCUUUGGAUGAGCCCGCGUAGGAUUAGCUUGUUGGUGGGGUAAUGGCCCACCAAGGCGACGAUCCUUAGCUGGUCUGAGAGGAUGAUCAGCCACACUGGGACUGAGACACGGCCCAGACUCCUACGGGAGGCAGCAGUGGGGAAUAUUGGACAAUGGGCGAAAGCCUGAUCCAGCAAUGCCGCGUGAGUGAUGAAGGCCUUAGGGUUGUAAAGCUCUUUUACCCGGGAUGAUAAUGACAGCACCGGGAGAAUAAGCUCCGGCUAACUCCGUGCCAGCAGCCCCGGUAAUACGGAGGGAGCUAGCGUUGUUCGGAAUUACUGGGCGUAAAGCGCACG
rnacentral:rRNA from 1 species